rnacentral:rRNA from 1 species
AUUGAACGCUGGCGGCAGGCUUAACACAUGCAAGUCGAGCGGGGGAAGGUAGCUUACUACCGGACCUAGCGGCGGACGGGUGAGUAAUGCUUAGGAAUCUGCCUAUUAGUGGGGGACAACAUCUCGAAAGGGAUGCUAAUACCGCAUACGUCCUACGGGAGAAAGCAGGGGAUCUUCGGACCUUGCGCUAAUAGAUGAGCCUAAGUCGGAUUAGCUAGUUGGUGGGGUAAAGGCCUACCAAGGCGACGAUCUGUAGCGGGUCUGAGAGGAUGAUCCGCCACACUGGGACUGAGACACGGCCCAGACUCCUACGGGAGGCAGCAGUGGGGAAUAUUGGACAAUGGGGGGAACCCUGAUCCAGCCAUGCCGCGUGUGUGAAGAAGGCCUUAUGGUUGUAAAGCACUUUAAGCGAGGAGGAGGCUACUUUAGUUAAUACCUAGAGAUAGUGGACGUUACUCGCAGAAUAAGCACCGGCUAACUCUGUGCCAGCAGCCGCGGUAAUACAGAGGGUGCGAGCGUUAAUCGGAUUUACUGGGCGUAAAGCGUGCGUAGGCGGCUUAUUAAGUCGGAUGUGAAAUCCCCGAGCUUAACUUGGGAAUUGCAUUCGAUACUGGUGAGCUAGAGUAUGGGAGAGGAUGGUAGAAUUCCAGGUGUAGCGGUGAAAUG